rnacentral:piRNA from 1 species
GAGAAAAAGGUUUGCUGAUUAGAGUUAGG